AUUGAACGCUGGCGGCAUGCCUUACACAUGCAAGUCGAACGGCAGCACGGGAGCAAUCCUGGUGGCGAGUGGCGAACGGGUGAGUAAAGUAUCGGAACGUGCCCAGUCGUGGGGGAUAACGUAGCGAAAGUUACGCUAAUACCGCAUACGAUCUAUGGAUGAAAGCGGGGGAUCGCAAGACCUCGCGCGAUUGGAGCGGCCGAUAUCAGAUUAGGUAGUUGGUGGGGUAAAGGCUCACCAAGCCGACGAUCUGUAGCUGGUCUGAGAGGACGACCAGCCACACUGGGACUGAGAAACGGCCCAGACUCCUACGGGAGGCAGCAGUGGGGAAUUUUGGACAAUGGGCGAAAGCCUGAUCCAGCCAUGCCGCGUGCAGGAUGAAGGCCUUCGGGUUGUAAACUGCUUUUGUACGGAACGAAAAGGUUUGGGCUAAUAAGCUGAGCUCAUGACGGUACCGUAAGAAUAAGCACCGGCUAACUACGUGCCAGCCGCCGCGGUAA
rnacentral:rRNA from 1 species